rnacentral:rRNA from 1 species
UACAGAGGGUGCGAGCGUUAAUCGGAAUUACUGGGCGUAAAGGGCGCGUAGGCGGCCUACUAAGUCGAACGUGAAAUCCCUGGGCUCAACCCAGGAACUGCGUCCGAUACUGGUUGGCUUGAAUCCGGGAGAGGGACGUGGAAUUCCAGGUGUAGCGGUGAAAUGCGUAGAUAUCUGGAGGAACACCGGUGGCGAAGGCGACGGCCUGGACCGGCAUUGACGCUGAGGCGCGAAAGCCAGGGGAGCAAACGGG